AAGGAUCAUUAAAGAAAUUUAAUAAUUUUGAAAAUGGAUUUUUUUGUUUUGGCAAGAGCAUGAGAGCUUUUACUGGGCAAGAAGACAAGAGAUGGAGAGUCCAGCCGGGCCUGCGCUUAAGUGCGCGGUCUUGCUAGGCUUGUAAGUUUCUUUCUUGCUAUUCCAAACGGUGAGAGAUUUCUGUGCUUUUGUUAUAGGACAAUUAAAACCGUUUCAAUACAACACACUGUGGAGUUUUCAUAUCUUUGCAACUUUUUCUUUGGGCAUUCGAGCAAUCGGGGCCCAGAGGUAACAAACACAAACAAUUUUAUUUAUUCAUUAAAUUUUUGUCAAAAACAAGAAUUUUCGUAACUGGAAAUUUUAAAAUAUUAAAAACUUUCAACAACGGAUCUCUUGGUUCUCGCAUCGAUGAAGAACGCAGCGAAAUGCGAUACGUAAUGUGAAUUGCAGAAUUCCGUGAAUCAUCGAAUCUUUGAACGCACAUUGCGCCCCUUGGUAUUCCAGGGGGCAUGCCUGUUUGAGCGUCAUUUCCUUCUCAAACAUUCUGUUUGGUAGUGAGUGAUACUCUUUGGAGUUAACUUGAAAUUGCUGGCCUUUUCAUUGGAUGUUUUUUUUCCAAAGAGAGGUUUCUCUGCGUGCUUGAGGUAUAAUGCAAGUACGGUCGUUUUAGGUUUUACCAACUGCGGCUAAUCUUUUUUAUACUGAGCGUAUUGGAACGUUAUCGAUAAGAAGAGAGCGUCUAGGCGAACAAUGUUCUUAAAGUUUGACCUCAAAUCAGGUAGGAGUACCCGCUGAACUUAA
rnacentral:sRNA from 1 species